CACGUAGGGUGCGAGCGUUGUCCGGAAUUAUUGGGCGUAAAGAGCUCGUAGGCGGUGUGUCGCGUCGGCCGUGAAAACCUGCAGCUUAACUGUGGGCUUGCGGUCGAUACGGGCAUCACUGGAGUUCGGCAAGGGAGACUGGAAUUCCUGGUGUAGCGGUGAAAUGCGCGGAUAUCAGGAGGAACACCGGUGGCGAAGGCGGGUCUCUGGGCCGAUACUGACGCUGAGGAGCGAAAGCGUGGGGAGCGAACAGG
rnacentral:rRNA from 1 species